rnacentral:rRNA from 1 species
UAAGGAAUAUUGGUCAAUGGACGCAAGUCUGAACCAGCCAUGCCGCGUGGAGGAUGAAGGCCCUCUGGGUUGUAAACUUCUUUUAUCUGGGACGAAACCUGGGUAUUCCUACUCAGUUGACGGUACCAGAGGAAUAAGCACCGGCUAACUCCGUGCCAGCAGCCGCGGUAAUACGGAGGGUGCAAGCGUUAUCCGGAUUCACUGGGUUUAAAGGGUGCGUAGGAGGGCAGGUAAGUCAGUGGUGAAAUCCUAGGGCUUAACCCUAGAACUGCCGUUGAUACUAUCGGUCUUGAAUACCGUGGAGGUGAGCGGAAUAUGUCAUGUAGCGGUGAAAUGCUUAGAUAUGACAUAGAACACCAAUUGCGAAGGCAGCUUGCUACACGUUUUAUUGACUCUGAGGCACGAAAGCGUGGGGAUCAAACAGGAUUAGAUACCCUGGUAGUCCACGCCCUAAACGAUGGAUACUCGACAUACGCGAUACACUGUGUGUGUCUGAGCGAAAGC